GGCCCCUUAGCUCAGUGGUCAGAGCAGUCGACUCAUAAUCGAUUGGUCCCCUGUUCAAGUCAGGGAGGGGCCACCA
rnacentral:tRNA from 1 species